rnacentral:rRNA from 1 species
UACGGGGGGGGCAAGCGUUGUUCGGAAUUACUGGGCGUAAAGGGCUCGUAGGCGGCCAACUAAGUCGGACGUGAAAUCCCUCGGCUUAACCGGGGAACUGCGUCUGAUACUGGAUGGCUUGAGUUUGGGAGAGGGAUGCGGAAUUCCAGGUGUAGCGGUGAAAUGCGUAGAUAUCUGGAGGAACACCGGUGGCGAAGGCGGCAUCCUGGACCAACACUGACGCUGAUGAGCGAAAGCCAGGGGAGCAAACGGG